CUUGGGAAGUGUUACCAAAGACUGAAAAAGAGGCGCCAGCUCUGGUGAAUUGAUAAUUCAUUUGCACGUCAGUCUGAUCCCAAA